rnacentral:lncRNA from 1 species
CCAUCCAUCCAUCCAUCCAUUCUUCCAUGGAUCUAUGCAUCUGUCCACCCAUCCCCUCAUUCUUUCAAUAUUUAUUGUGUAGCUAUUAUAUGUCAGACAUUCUUCUUUACUCUGCAUAUAUGAAAGAGAACAAGGCAUGAAAUUCCUGUUCUCAUGGAGCUUCUGUUCUACAAGAGGAAGGGAGAUCAUAAAAAUAGUUAACACACAAUACGAUAACUUCAGAGAGUGGUAUGUGCUCUGAAAGCCGUCCCAUUGGGCAACAGUACAGGGAGUGACCAGUGACAGGUGGGCAGAGUUGAGGAGGGCUUCUUUAGCGAAGGUGAUCAGGGAAAGCCUUGCAAAGGAGAUGAUAGUGAGACUGAAGUGAAAAGGAGACAGUCACAUGAAGGCCUGGGCAAGGGAGAACAUUCCAGGCAGAGGGAGCCACAGUGAGCUGAUGUCACUGAGGAGCCUCCAGCUAAGCAGCAGCUUGGAGACAGAGGGCCAAGCAGAGGCGAAUCAGACAAAAGCACACUCAAAUCUUGGCUCAGCCCUUUAGUAUCUGUGGGACAUGGAGAGAGGUGCUAACCUUCCAAGCUUUUACUUCUCUAUAUGUGAAAUGGAGACACUAAAACCUCACUCAUAGGGUGGGUGAAAAGAUGAAGUCGUAUACAGAGCAUGGUCCUUGGCAUGAGGUAGCUUAUCAAGCCCAGAUACUUCCAAAUCCUUCUGCCAAGUGAAAGUCAUCGUGCUUCUCACAUCAGCAUCCUAAGACAGGCAGGAAGAUUGAUCACCUUGCUUCUGGUAACCAGUUUCAGACUGACAUGUCUGCAUGAUUCCACCUUCAUUCCAUAUUUUAAAAAUGCACCAUGUACUCCCUUUAUUAAGCAUGUCACCCAGCUCUAGUUACUGUGAAACUAGAAGGUCACAGCUCAGCUCUGUGCUCAGAAAUAUGGCACCUGUCAGGUGCAUGAUUUAGGAACUUGGCCUUCCUCAGUGGGACCUCAGUGUAGUAAAAUCAAGUCAACGAUUCAAUCCAUGGCUGCUGAUAAAGACUGGGAGAAAUAUGAAGCUGCUGUCUUAGCAAUACACUUUUCAUUAGUGAACUUUUUUAGUAAGAUGACAUUGAAAUCCACCCCCCCAGCCUGGUUUCCAAAUAGCUCAGCACUGUAACCUGAAUAAGACGUGGUGACUCUGCUGGACAAAGACCAAAAGCCUUGCGAGGGUGUGGGACAGACAACAGGAUACAUCAGUGCAGUUGGCUCAGUUUUGCAAGGUUAGACUUCUCUCAUUUGAUUUCACUUACCUCUGGCUAUUUUCCUUUUCUUUGCCAGAGGAACACUGGCAAAUGUUUAACAUCUGAUUCUCUGGAGGUGGGGAAAGCUUGAAUUAAUAGUGUUUGUCUAAUUCCAUGAUAGAAGUAUUUCCAAUGUGGCCAGUUUCGAGUUACUCCCACGAUGUCACUGAAUGCACAGCUACAAAGAGAUGGUAACAACUGGCCCCUGCAAACUGCUAUGAAUUGGCUCUAGGGCAACACUGCUACACCAUCUCCCUACGAAUAACAGGGAUCCCCUUUGUGGGGUUGGACACUGUACAUAUGUAGCUGGCACUACAUGCAUGAUAUUUCAUAUAAUCUUAACUAUCAUUGUUUGAGGCUGGGAUUACUAUUGCCAUUUCAGGGAUGAGAAUAGCAAGGCUCAGAGAGAUUGUGUAGCCAGCAUCGGUUCACAUAAUUAGCAGGCAGCGAAGUUGGGAUUUGAAUACUGUGGGCACCUUUCAUGUGGCACACUCCUCCCCACUCUGAGUCCUCCUCUUUCUUCCCUGGGAAUGAGUAGCUUGCUUCCUAACAAGCUCCAGGGCUCCAGUGUCCCCUGGAUCCUCCCACAGUGCUCUUUUGCACAUGGACCCCUCCACUCCCAGUUCAGAAUGAAGUCCAGUUUACUUAGCUUGGCUCCAGGGUGCAGCCUGUACUUCCUCAUCCAAUCUCUCUACUCUAGCAAAAUGGGUUUCCCCACGGUCCCUAGAUGUGUGUGAGAUGGUUGACCUUCUUGCAUUAUCAGCUUCUCCUUAUUCCACUUAGAUGCAACGAUCUCAUUCAAACUCUGUCUUGUCCUGCUAGUCCUGCUAGCCCUGCUAAACCACUUGAGCCCCUGGAGUCUCUUCCUCCCUGGAGCUUCUACAGCAUUCCUAUCUGGACCAUUCGCCAGGUGGUUAACACUGGAAACAAAAACUAUGUUGUUUGCUGGUUUGGAUUUCUUACAGCUCCCAGGAGACCACAAGCUACUUGGAGGUAGGACCAAGUGGUGUACAUAACGACCAGACAGCCACAAAGAGUCCCUUGCUCAGACAGGUGUUCAGCAACUCUUCCCAGAGCAAAACAUGCCUGUCUUGCCCACUGCGGAGUAACUGCAAGGCAGCGCACUGCUCCUCUGGGGUCUCAGACCCAAUGGCAGCCUUACAAGAAUAAACUCAAGCUGUUUUAAAAAAUAUUUUUAAACAGCAAACCUCUCCUCUCUAAAUGACAUUUAAUUGCUUCAAAGAUCAAGAGAAGGCAACUUCUUUGUGGCUGGGCGUGCAAACAACCUGCGUUCUUCAGGGCUCUGGGUAUGGGUUACAAGAUUCAUCGUGACUCAAUUCUCCAAUCCACUGAGUUUUGGAGGACACAGGCAGUGUGUCACUGCAGAUGGACUGCCAACCCCCAAUUAAACUGUUCUGGAUGGCUACUGGUGGUGACCUUCAGGUGACAUUGGUCAAGCCUCAAAGGAGUGUGGCCACCCAACCCUAGCAGAGUUUGAGUGUGCCAGGUGCUCAUUACUGAACCCACUUCUCAGUCUACAUCAAACAACCAUGCUGGCCAGAAAUGGUGUGCUGAGUUCUGACGAUACAGAAACACCACACUACUGAUGAUACAGGUGCAUACAUGAAACCUCCUGGUGGCAGGAAGACUCGUUCCUGAGGGCCUGAUGGCUCCCACACCGAGGAAUGCUCUGCCAGAGGCCAGUCCAUUUCAGGCACAGUUAUAACCCACUCCAUAAAGGUUGUGCCAGGGAGAAAAUUAUGACAGGACCUUGCUUGAAAGAAGAGGCAGUCACAAGGCCCCAUGGGGCUUACCUUCCAGGAUGGACUGGCCCUGGGUUUGGGAUUGCAUCAAUUUCAUUUCUGGCUCUCAUGAGUCGGAUUCCCUCUUUUCUCAGAGUAUGGAAGCCAGUGGAGCGUGGCAAAGGUGUCUGGCACCCUGUCUUUGCUGCUUCCUGUGAAAACGAGAUGGUCUGCCUGAAAUGAUACAUUGGCUGUUUCAUUUCUGGGCUCCCCUUGUGUCUUUUUUUUUUAAAGACAGAGACGGGGUCUCACUAUGUUGCCCAGGCUGUCCUCGAACUCCUACGCUCAAGGAAUCUUCCUGCCUCAGCCUCCCAAAGAGCAGGAUUAUGAACGUGAGCCAUUACGCCCAACUUCCCCUAAUCUCUUGUGCUUGGCAUAAUGCUGGUAUGCAGUAGGUGCUCAAUAAAUGCUGACUUGGGUGUAAUAUUGAUGAACUCCAAAAAGCUUACUGGAGAGUGUGUGCAUGUGUGAGUGCACAUGUGUGAAUGUGUGUGCAUGUGUGUGCAUGAGUGCAUGUAUGAGUACUUGCAUGUGGGUGCAGAUGUGGGAGUGGUGUGUGAAUGUGUGGACAUGUAUGUGCAUGAUGUACACAUGUGUACAUGCACAAGUGUGUGAACGUGUGUGUGUGUGUGUACGUAUGUACUGGAUCAAGGUCAGGCAGAGCUGGCACUCAGAUGACCACCAGCACCCCGGUCCCAAAUUCGGCAGCAGCAACCAUUUGGUGCCUACCCUGUUCCCUUCUCAUUUAGUGCCAUCUUCACCAACCCGCCAGGAAGACAAGCUUGAUUCCAUCUUGAAUAUGAGGAAAAUGGAGGCUCGCUGAUGUGCAGUAGCCCUUGCAAGGCCUCACAGUGUGUGCAGGGAGAUGUAGAUUCCUACAGUGGAGUCUGACCCCACUGUCCCCUAUGCUGCAGUGCCUUCUGGGCAGAUGCCAGGCAUCAGACCAGGGAAAUUCUGCCCCACAGUGAGUGGGGCCAACUGACGCUGAUGUGAGUGUAUUCCAUAGUGGCUGUGUGUGAUGGAGAGGGAGUGGGAUUGGUACUCAGGGGCUUAAGGAAUGGCAUCUGGUAUAAUGGUAUCUGAGGACAUGGCACAGAACAUGGUAUGCCACAGCCUCCUCACCUUAUAAUGGAAGUAACCGUGCAUACCUCCUAGCGUCACCGUGGGGGUUUAAAUUCUUACAUGUGAGGUGUGUAUAACUGCACGUGGUAUGCAGGAAGCGCUCGGUAGCUACGCUCCUAGUACAUCCUCAUAAGCGAACACUUACUAAUCUAGUUGUUGUGCUGGAAAAUGUGGCGCUGGAAAAGACCUGGAGCUUGACCAUGACACAGACAUUCAGGCUACGGAUCCUGUGUCCACCGUUUACUGAGAGGGCCGUGGGUGAGUGACGUGGAGUGUGGCGUAACCUCCCCAUGUCGCCCUCUCCUAGUGCAGAAAUUGGAGACAGUGGGGGAUCCCUCACAGGGUUGCUGGGAUGACUGAAUGAGGUAAUAGACUUCACAGAUCCCACAUAGGGUCUGGUACGCAGUGGUCCCUCAACAGUGGACAGACAUUAUUAGGAUCUGGUCAUAUUCUGAGAACAAAGCUUGACAAGUUCUGGAAUCAAAUGUCAUUGUCAAAUGUGCCUGCUCAAUGCAAUUCUACUUGGCUACUGGACUCUCUGCAAUAAUUUGUCUGAAAGAGAGGCAGAAGCCCCCAAGAGAUGAAUGGGCUGGUUUUAAGGAGAGAAUGAUUUUAAGAGGCAUUGAGGGUGCCCUGGAAGCCAUCCCCCUACAGUGCAUAUCAGGCCAAAUGCACCUGUCAGCACCUGCAUUCCUUUGCCAGAGAACUUGCACCAGCAGCCAAAGGCCUUUGCUCAUCUAUGCAGCAGGCUGAAUGCGAUGAGAAUCAGCACCUCUCUCAGGAGCAACCCUCACCCAAUGACUGGGGUACUUAUACCUCAGCUCCCUUGCUCCCCAUGAGACAAGAAGAAUACAGGGUGGUCAUAGAAGAAUAGAAAAUUCCAGGCAGUAGUUUCACAUGAUUAGCAAAAGGAAAAUGUUGAAAUAGCUGCAGAAGCUAGGGGCUGAUAAGACCCUGAAAAAACAAGAGUGUGGGCCAAGCUGGCUAAGACCAACUGGACCCAUCGUGGUGGUGGAUUUCACUUAGGUUUUCCCUAGGACCUCAAUAUAUGCUCGUUAACAUACUAUAUCACACACCCACCGGCACCUCGAUGGUUCCAGGAACACCCAUAUUUGGUGCAAAAAUGGGUGACACCUCAGUUAUGAGAAAUCUCCACCUUUUUCCAGGAAUCUUCAUGAACAUUCCACUGCUUGGUUAAAGAAAUCCAUAGAGGUAGCAACCCCAAUCCCCCUUGAGAGCGAUUCCUUCACUCUUGAAAACGCUCACACUCACCUUUCUUGAGUGUAUACUUUUUGCUUUGCAAUAAACCAUACUUUCACUAUUUUCUGACUCAUUCUUGAAUUUCUUCUCACAGUCAAGAGCCUGGACAAUGACUGGGGUCAAGGACUCACUGGCGUUUGGGGACCUCCCCCAGCCUACGAUAUUACUUGGAUGGAAUAAGCCCAGGAGUGUGUUCCUCUGGGAUUCAGCUCCUGUACGCAUAGUGGUGGCUGGAUGGACAAUGCAGAGUGUGUGGGCUGUGUUCCUCUCCUGUCCCACUUCCUGCUCUCCCGCUGGUAUUUUAUGGGAUUUUCUGCCAACUAAACUAUUUUCACCCUAACCCUUGUCUCAGCAUCUGCUUCGGGGGCAAUCCAAAGUAAGACUGUCCAAAGUAAGACAGUCACAGUCAUGUUAAUAGAAUUCCCACCAGACAGCGGUUGAUUGUUCCAGAGGCCAAUGCCCAGAGCAGCAGGAAGUGACUUCAUCAAGCCAGAGUGGUGAAUUAGUUCCAGUUGUUUUUCCUGAGCCUCUCAACAACAGGAGAGGCAAGCAGAGCACAGUAGGAACUGAAUGGGGUUUGCGUGAAAGAAAAAUCCAGGGAAAGGUGUCCUGCAGAACGUGCACGGACCUGACCCGAGUCUAAGCUUGUAAGGGGCUUGGUGCAUGGGAGUUGGAGAACCAUCUCGGUGUUCAUAUUCUGGCAUCGAAAUGAGAACAUGAGUGCAUUUUAUUGUAUCUUUGAGGCAACCCUGGAGGCUACACCUUGAAGAGGCAGCCUCAUGAAAUGGAAGGUGCCAAGGAUCUCUGAACGUUAUGGAGCAGAGCCAUCCCACCCCACCAUCUGCAGUUCGACUGUAAUAGGAGGACUGAGAGUUUUAUUCUGGCUCAGUCGUUUCAGCCAUCACAGAAUUAAGUAAUGACAAAGUGAAUUAUCAUCCAGCCCUGGCUUCGGCAAGGAAUGUAACCUGCAGCCGAGAUCCCUCACUGCUGGAGCACUCACACGACUGUCUAGGUAGUGACAUGAAAAAUGUCCCUAGAAUCCCCCAGCUCAGGGCCAUACAUCCUCAGAGUCUCGACUCCACACUUGGUGGGGAAGAAUGUUGUUUUAUUGAGAAGGGGAAGAGGGUGUAAAUAGAUUCCUCUUAAACAUUACAUUCAUCCUUGUUAAUCAAAAAUUAGUAGCUCUUAAAAAAAAUAAACACAACUCAGCUCCCCAGGAAGCUGAUAGUAGUUCCCGUGGCCCGUUUAAUUACACAAAAUGAAACAAAACAUAUUCCUCUACUCCUCGCCUGUGGAAUUAACAAAAUGAAAUAUAAUGGUGGCCAUAUCUGGGCAGUGGGAUUAAAGGUGAUUUUUAAUUUACUUCUUUAUGCUGCUCCAUGUUUGUUAAUUUUUUUGUGACGAGCAUGCAUUGCUCAUAAAAAAGUACUUCAAUGUGUAAAAAAAGGAAAUAUGGGAUUGCAUUCCCAAAACCUGUAAACAAAAGAAAUAUAUGUACACCUGUUGCAACUUUUUAGCAGUUCACCUGCCCAUUCUCUGAUCAUUCCCCAAGAGGAAGGCCAUGUUUUCCUGAUUCCCACUCUGUCCCUAACAACAGUGCCUGGCACAUAGUAGGUGCUUAUUAAGCAGCUGCUGAGGCAACUGAAAAAUAGCUAUUUUUAAUCGGGAGAAAAAUGGCUAUUUAACAACCAUGGGUUUCUAAAGACAGAGAGCCCUUUUGGUCUUCUGGCAUGUUUCCGUCUGUUAAAAGGGAAUCUGAAGUUCUUUCGAGGUGGGGACUGCAUAGAAUUGAAUCUUUCUGCAGAAGGUCUUUGUCUCUGUGUAACUGGUGACACAGGUGACAACACGGAUGAAUCCCACAAUAAUUGUGCUGAGCAGAAGGAGCCAGACAAAAAAGAGGGCAUACUUUAUGAUUCAAUUUAUAUGAAGCUCUACAAAAUGUACACUAAUCUACAAUGACAGAAGGCAGAUCAGUGGUUGCCUGGGGCUGAGGUAAAGGAAAGGAGGGGCAGAAAGGAGGAUGCCAAAGGAGUCCAGGACGUUUCUGAGGAUGCUAGACACAUGCACGAUCUAGAUCACGGUGAUAGCGUCAAGGGAGUGCACAUAUGUCAGAACUCAUCAACUUGUGCACUUUUGCAUGUCAAUCACAUCUCCAUGGAGCUGUUUAAAAAGAGAAAGUGCAGAGGAGAGGGAGAAAUUGGAGAGAAGAGUCCCAAUAUGUGCUGAGGCUGGGUACAUGCUGGGAUGAUGUGCCUUGUGAGAAAUACAGACGGAUGGGAUGCUGAGAAGGAUGGAAAAUCGAGGGCUUUCCAGGGUCUCAGGUUGAAGUUGUUUGAUGUGAUGUGAUGUAACUGCCCUUUCCAUGCCUCUAAACAUCCUCAGUGAGUUAGAUCACAUGCAACCAAUUCUGAUGACAGUGAGUGUGUGUGUAUGUGCGUGUGCACAUACACGUGUGUGUGCAUAUGUGUGCCAAGGGAGGACUGGGGAGAAGGGCGACAUGGGAUGCCACAGGCUGGCACAGGCAGGAGAUUGAGACAGCUAAGAAAUGGAACUAGCUUGCAGAAGUGGAAGCUUGAAGCCAGAUGUGACCUCUGGAAAGUCAAGGCUUCCUUCUCCAAUCCUCUGGAAUUUGCAGAAAUCUUGGGAAGCCUCUGGGCUGCUACGGGGCAUGCAGUCAGGACUUAUCAACUUAUCACAUAUUUAUUUAGUUCUCAAAGGCAGGCAGAUCCCAGCUGACAUCUGGAUGCUGCUCCCACACUCAGUGGCUGUUUGUUGAACAAAUGCAGGAAUAUUAUUUUGAUUUGUUGACAGAAAAACAACUGGUGCUAUUUUGAAUAUUGGCAACAGGAGGCAGAAUGAUGAUGAAUGGGCUGCCACUGGGGCUUAGGUCACCUUUCAUCUGGUUAGCAUGUUUCACAAUGCCCGUGCUUUGGGGGCCAUGUCUUAUAAGUCAUGCAUUUAGCAAACAUUGGCCGAGGGCUUGUCACGGGGCAGGCACUACACAAGAUGUUGAGAGGAAACCACUGGAUGAGAUUCAGGCCUUCCCCUAAAGAGCUCGCAGCACAGAGUAGAACACACACAAAUGAAGAUACCAUAAUGCUGGUAGGGGUGUACCAUGGGGGUUGGCAAACUAUGGCCCAUGGGCCAAAUCUGGCCCUCUGACUCCCUGUGUCAACACAGUUCUAUUGGAACACAGCCAUGCCUAUUCACAGAUGUGGCAGCUUUUGGAUUACGAUGGUCGAGUUGAGUAGCUGAGACACAGAUUGUGUGGUCCAUAAAACCUAUAUUGUUUAUCAUCUGGCCCUUUAUAGAAGAAACUUGCCAACCGUGCUCUAACAGAAGACAAUACAGGGCAAGACGCUGGACUGAAGUAAGAAGGUUGGGGUUACUGACCCGGCUUGUUAGCAAACCCAGCUCUCAGUGUUCCAGGCUAGAUCAUAAGAUCAGUUAGGGCUAAGCAUCCUCCUCAUACCGCCUGUGUGAGUUAGCAAGAAGCAGAAUGGACUUCCAAGAGCAGCCCCUGUCUGCCCAGGAGGAAGCACAAAACAGAUGCUCCUGGCCGCAUCAACUUUCCAAGAAAGCAGUGUCUUGAGAGCCUCAGCACUGGGAACCAGGCAACACCAUCUCCCCAUGGUGGCCUCAGGGAGGUUCAUCAAAGCCAACGGUGCCUAGUCAGUGACACUGGGAGAAAGUAAAGAAACAGAAGCAGUUUCUUGUAUCUUUUUAAGCCCAAAGGGGAGGCCCAAACCAAGGAAGUGCAUCAAAUAAUAAUUAAGUGAAGAUAUUUAAUUAGCAUUCAUUUGCACUCUUUAUAUUAAAGUCAGUCCCUGAUGGAAAUCCUUUGUUAUCCUUUGCAAAGACAUAUUAAAUAUUAACUCCUGAACAGGACACACUACAGUCCUGUACAGUACAGCCUGGUUAAAAACUGUCUUUGGAAAUAAUUUAUUUGCAAUUCAUUCGUUAACUAACAAACAUGUAUUGAGUGCCUAUUAUUUGCCAGGCCCACUUGAAGACCAACAUGGUCCGUGCCCUCAAGGGGUUUACAGUUUAGUGUGGGGAGACAGGUAGUGAAUGUUCAGGCAAGCAAGCACACUUGAUCUUUGUUACUCACCAUAGCUAUGUCCUAUAAAACUACUGUAGGCUGGGUGCAGUGGCUCACGCCUGUAAUCCCAGCAAUUUGGGAGGCCGAGGCGGGGCAGACCAC